rnacentral:ncRNA from 1 species
UAAAAAUUUUAUUUUAGUUUAAAAAUUAAAUGUUAUUUUUAAUUAUAUGUAAAAUUUUAUUUAAGAAUAAAUUGCAGUAAUUAAAAUUAAAUAUUCAAGAAAUUGAGAUUUAUAAAUAAUAAUUAAUAUAAACUUAAUUUGUGCCAGCAGUUGCGGUUAUACAAAUUAUAUAAUUUAAUUUUUAUUAAUUAUAAUUAAUUGUUAUUUAAAUUUUAUCAUUAAAUUUAUUAAGUGAAAUUUUAAAUUUAUUUAAAAUUUUUUAUGUUAAAUGUUUUAAGAAAUUUUAAUAAUAAACUAGGAUUAGAUACCCUAUUAUUUAAAAAUGUAUUUAAAAAAAUUUAAUUAGUAUUAGUUAUGUUCUUAAAAAUUAAAAAAUUUGGCGGUAUUUUAGUCUAUUUAGAGGAACCUGUUUUAUAAAUGAUAAUCCACGAUUUAAUUUACUUAUUUUAUUAGUUUAUAUAUCGUUGUAAUUAAAUAUUUUUUUAGAAUUUUAAUAUUUGAGAAUUUUAAUUAAAAAAUAAAUCAAAUCAAGAUGUAAUUUAUAAAUAAGUAAAAAUGGGUUACAAUAAAUUUAUUUUAGGAUAAUAAUUAUUAUAGUUAUUUGAAUUUGGAUUUAAAGGUAAUUUUAAUAAAUUAAUUAAGAUGAUUUUAGCUCUAAAAUAUGUACAUAUUGCCCGUCGCUUUCAUUUAAAAUGGAAUAAGUCGUAACAAAGUAGAUUUACUGGAAAGUGAAUCUAGAUUCAA